rnacentral:rRNA from 1 species
AGCGAACGCUGGCGGCAGGCUUAACACAUGCAAGUCGAACGGGCGUAGCAAUACGUCAGUGGCAGACGGGUGAGUAACGCGUGGGAACGUACCUUUUGGUUCGGAACAACCCAGGGAAACUUGGGCUAAUACCGGAUAAGCCCUUACGGGGAAAGAUUUAUCGCCGAAAGAUCGGCCCGCGUCUGAUUAGCUAGUUGGUGUGGUAACGGCGCACCAAGGCGACGAUCAGUAGCUGGUCUGAGAGGAUGAUCAGCCACAUUGGGACUGAGACACGGCCCAAACUCCUACGGGAGGCAGCAGUGGGGAAUAUUGGACAAUGGGCGCAAGCCUGAUCCAGCCAUGCCGCGUGAGUGAUGAAGGCCCUAGGGUUGUAAAGCUCUUUUGUGCGGGAAGAUAAUGACGGUACCGCAAGAAUAAGCCCCGGCUAACUUCGUGCCAG